rnacentral:rRNA from 1 species
AACGAACGUUGGCGGCGUGGAUUAGGCAUGCAAGUCGCGGGAAUCCCAGCAAUGGGGGAACCGGCGUAAGGGGCAGUAAUGCGUGGGUACCUACCUUGGGAUCCGGGAUAGCCGUCCGAGAGGGCGGGUAAUACCGGAUGAUCUCGAGAGAGCAAAGCUCCGGCGUCCCGAGAGGGGCCCACGUGAUAUUAGCUAGUUGGCGGGGUGACGGCCCACCAAGGCGGAGAUGUCUAGCGGGUGUGAGAGCACGACCCGCGCCACUCGCACUGAGACACUGGCGAGACACCUACGGGUGGCUGCAGUCGAGGAUCUUCGGCAAUGCGCGCAAGCGCGACCGAGCGACGCCGCGUGGGCGAUGAAGGCCUUCGGGUUGUAAAGCCCUGUCGAGGGGAGAAAAGCUCGAAAGAGUGUGAUCUAUCCCUGGAGGAAGCUCGGGCUAAGUUCGUGCCAGCAGCCGCGGUAAU